GGGCCUGAUCACACAGGGGCUUAGCAGCUAUCAUAGUGAGGUUUGACCUUGUGCAAGGGAAAGCCACUGAAAGAUGGCAUGAUCAAGCCUCAGUUUCAGUAUCAUUCCUGCUGUCAUGUGGACAAUGAAGUAGAAGGAAUCACAGGAAAAACAGCAAAAGGAGGCAGAAGAUUAUUAUCAUCAGAGUGCUCGAGCUGGGAGAUGACAGUGCACUGAAUCAAUGGGGCUGGCGUGCAGACGGAGAGAAACGAAUGCGUUCAGUACACAGGGGGCUUGCUGAAGGAUAGAUGGCAAGGACCUGCAGUCCGUUCCUGGGUUUGGUGUCAUUUGCUGAGGUGAGAGAGAUUGAGGAGGCCAGAGCACACGCUGCAGUGGAAAUCAAAGGCUGAGUGCGCAGAUGUAUUCCUAGAUUGGGAGAAAAGUAUAAAGGCCUCAAGCACAGACAUGUGUCCUUGGCUUAAAGACGUCUUCAAGAAUCUGAGCUCUUUUGAGUCUUCAAUAAUUUGCCAUUUCAUGUUCUUUGUCUUUGGACUUUCCCUCAUGAGAGAUGGAAAAGGUUUGAGAAAUAUAAGCCUUGACUAAGCUGAACUUCCCAGCAGCAACCAAACUGUGAACAAGAAGGAAAUAUAGAGGAUUGUGGAUUAAAGUCCUGGCUCUGACACUACAAGCUAUAUGACAUUGGCUAAGUUAGCUAACCUCUUCAGUUGUAAAAUAAGGAUAAAAAGAUCACUAACUUCCUAAGACAGUUACAAAGGUGAAAUGAGAACAUGAACUCUAAAGGAAUUAACAUGCCAUUAUUCAGGAUAUUUUGGACAUAUGAUGCUUGAUAGACCAACAGAGAGCUUCGGUAUGGACUAUCUCGGAUGCGCUAAUGUUAAAGAAUCACACGAAGCCUAUCAUCGACCUUGAAUUCCCGGUACGUGUCAAGACAUACAGUUGGACCAUAGUACUUGAACCGACCUUGGGAAUUCUAGCCUUUGACAGGUGACAGAAGAUACAGGAUGGAUUGAAAUGAAAAAAUAGUAAUAUAGGAAGCAGCCAUAGUUAUGUGGUAGGCCUCAAAGUGCACUAUCAGAAUAAGGGUGCAUAAGAGUGGAAGAUCUCUGGCCACAAAAGAGUAAGAAGAUAAAUCCAAUACAUCAUCUUCACAGUAUUUCUUAUCAUUGUACAAUGAAUGGAUAUAAAUGUGAAUAUGAACUAUAAAUAUACCUUUAUUAAUGCAUUACCUUCAUUUCAUAUAUUUCUGCUGUUCAAUAAUAUUCUUAGAAUACUGUUUAGGAGUCUUAAUUACUCUUUAUUUCGUGUUUCUAUGUAACAGCUACAAAGGAAGAAUGAUAUAAAUGAAGACUGGUGACUCAAGUACCAUGAAUGUCACUGUCGUAGGUGACAUCAUUUUCAAGCAUAGUGAAUGGCUUUAAUAAAAUUUCAAGCUAAAUAAAGUCUUUCAUAGAUGUUCACGACAGUUACCUUUCUAGAAAAUACAGUCUAGGUAAAAAUUGUGCACAUUUCAAAUGAGGACAAAUCCUAGGCUCAGAUAAUUAUAAAUAAUAUUUCCCCUGUAUGGAUUUCUAUGGUAUACUCAAAAUUUGAGAAAAACAUAAGUGAAUUUACGUCAUUGUGUGGCACUAUCCUACUCGUUGCAAGGCCUGCUGCAUCCUGCUCCCCCUUAUUAAAUGCCAGUACUACCCCUUUGUAAUAUCAUUGUAACAAGACCACCCUUGAGAAUUUCCAAAAUGCCCCCUAGUGAGAGGUACUACCCCUCUCAAGAAAACUAGGCUUCUAUCUUUUUUGUUUAGCUUUAUAAUAAAUAAUGUAGGUAUACUUUCUAGUUGGUGUAUUUA